ACGCUCGACACCUACGGGAGGUAGCAGUUAGGAAUAUUCGUCAAUGGAGGAAACUCUGAACGAGCAAUGCCGCGUGAAGGAUGACGGUCCUUUGGAUUGUAAACUUCUGUUGUUAGGAACGAACAACCUAAGUAGGAAAUGACUUAGGCCUGACGGUACCUUUCAAGAAAGCUCCGGCUAACUACGUGCCAACAGCCGCGGUAAUCUGAGCGGGCUGGCAAGGC
rnacentral:rRNA from 1 species